rnacentral:piRNA from 1 species
UGAGCUGCCAAUUGAUGAACAUUUUAU